UUACGACCAUAUCUCGUUGAAACGCCAGUUCCCGUAUGAUUACAGAAGUUAAGCAACGUCGAAUUUGGUCUGUACCUAGAUGAGUGACCGCUUAGGAAUACUAGAUGCUGUAA